CUAGAGUAUAGCCCAGAGAAAUUUGGAUUAAUCCUCUAUAACAUCUUUUAAUUUCAUGAUUUUAAGAUUAAAGUUUUAACGGUAAAAGAUGGGCAUGCGUCCUAUUAGUUUGUAGGUGAGGUAACGGCUCACCUAGACUACGAUAGGUAGGGGCCCUGAGAGGGGGAUCCCCCACACUGGUACUGAGACACGGACCAGACUCCUACGGGAGGCAGCAGUAAGGAAUAUUGGACAAUGGACGAAAGUCUGAUCCAGCCAUGCCGCGUGCAGGAUGACAGCCCUACGGGUUGUAAACUGCUUUUAUACAGGAAGAAACACUCCGACGUGUCGGAGCUUGACGGUACUGUAAGAAUAAGGAUCGG
rnacentral:rRNA from 1 species